rnacentral:tRNA from 1 species
GUUAUAAUAAUUUAACUAUUAAAAUAUUGGUUUUGUAAACCAACAUUGAUUCAUUCUUAUAACU